CUGGCUUGAUGUGCACAGUCUUGAUGUUCUUGAUGUUGUAAUUAUAAUGUUAAAAGUAAUUGCUUAAACUUGGUUUUUAGGUUACCAUAGUUUUUGCUUCAAAUGUAGUCUUGCAGAGUCUGAAGAAGAACAAAGAUGGGAAUCUCCCUGAACCAGGGAAAGCUUAGUUUCAAUGAGAGAAGACAGCAGAACUCUCAGGACACUACAAGGAAACCCAGAGUAAGGAAAGCAUCAUGACCUUCCUAAGAUUGGCGGGUCAAAUGGAGAGUGACAGAACCUAAGUCCUUAGAGUAUUUAUGGAUACACACCUCGCUUUGGGCCACUCUUUAGCAAUAUGGCUUCAUAGUCUGAGGUGCAAGAGAUCCAGCUUUGUCCUAAAACAGUGUAUGUUGGAACCUUAGCUGCAGCCUCAGAAUACCUGCAAGUGGUUGGAAAUUACACAGCCUUGGGAUAUCCAAAAACUUGGUUUCAAACCAUCACACACAACCAUGUAAUUCUGGGUUCCUGCAGCCAAAAGCAGGGGAAAUUGAUGUUCUUCAGCCAGAAGUAGUAUUCUGGAUAGAGGUGCUGUGCGCAUGCUAGCCUUAUAAAUAUCCUCAACUGUCACCUUAUCUACUUCUAGACAUGCCUCAAUCUGGAAAGUUUUACAGUUGUGCUGUCCUAGAAGCAAAGUGUCCAACUUAAGGCCUAGCCAGGGUGGACGCUAGAAUCCUGAAUUUACACACAAGAGCACCAAGGAUCGGAGGAGAAAGGUGUUUACCCAAAUCCGUUAUCUCCCGGGGGUACAAGCUCAAGGCUCCUGACUUGUGGUCCAGAAUUCUGUACUGUCUGUCCAGCAUGGCAGGUUGGAACACGAAAUGAAGGAUUCAAGACACUUCAUUGCUCUUUGUCUCUCAGUUUCACACAAAUUAACUGGCUUCUGGUUUCAGCAUCACAGAACCUUUUGACAACUCUUGAAAUCAAUCACAAAUUGUCUUCUUUGUUCCUGUGCUGUGUGUUCCCACUGUGGACUGAAUGUGAUCAAUGAGACAGAAAAUUAACAACGAUAUUCAGGACU
rnacentral:lncRNA from 1 species